GUGCUCACUUCGGGAGCACAUGUACUAAAAUUGGAUACAGAGAAGAUCAGCAUGGCCCAUGUGCAAGGAUUGGAUAUAGAAAACUUUAAUACUUCAUU
ensembl:snRNA U6 U6 spliceosomal RNA